UACAGAGGGGGCAAGCGUUGUUCGGAAUUACUGGGCGUAAAGGGCGCGUAGGCGGCCUUCUAAGUCGAACGUGAAAUCCCCGGGCUCAACCCGGGAACUGCGUCCGAUACUGGAAGGCUUGAAUCCGGGAGAGGGAUGCGGAAUUCCAGGUGUAGCGGUGAAAUGCGUAGAUAUCAGGAGGAACACCGGUGGCGAAGGCGGCCUGCUGGGCAGAUACUGACACUGAGGCGCGACAGCGUGGGGAGCAAACAGG
rnacentral:rRNA from 1 species